CCUACGGGUGGCAGCAGUCGAGAAUCAUUCACAAUGGGGGAAACCCUGAUGGUGCGACGCCGCGUGGGGGAAUGAAGGUCUUCGGAUUGUAAACCCCUGUCAUGUGGGAGCAAAUUAAAAAGAUAGUACCACAAGAGGAAGAGACGGCUAACGUUGUGCCAGCAGCCGCGGUAAUACAGAGGUCUCAAGCGUUGUGCGGAAUCACUGGGCGUAAAGCGUGCGGAGGCUGUUUAGUAAGUCGGGUGUGAAAGGUGCGGGGUCAACCCGCGGAAGGCACAUGAUACUGCGAGACUAGAGUAUUGAAGGGGGAACCGGAAUACGCGGUGUAGCAGUGAAAUGCGUAGAUAUCGAGAGGAACACUCGUGGCGAAGGCGGGUUCCUAGACAUUAACUGACGCUGAGGCACGAAGGCCAGGGGAGCGAAAGGGAUUAGAUACCCGAGUAGUC
rnacentral:rRNA from 1 species